rnacentral:lncRNA from 1 species
UUGGUUUACUUGUUUCCGAUUUUUCAACCCUCUUUUCCAGGCAAAAGGUGUCCAAACUAUAGAGACCCACAGAGUCUAACAGAUGUCUCUAUAUUCCUCUUCCUCGAACUCUCAGAGGAUCCAGAACUGCAGCCGGUCGUCACUGGGCUGUUCCUGUCCAUGCGCCUGGUCACGGUGCUGGGGAACCUGCUCAUCAUCCUGGCCGUCAGCGCUGACUCCCACCUCCACACCCCCAUGUACUUCUUCCUCUCCAAACUGCCCUUGCCUGACAUCGGUUUCACCUCCACCACAGUCGCCAAGAUGAUUGUGGACAUCCAGUCUCACAGCAGAGUCAUCUCCUAUGCAGGCUGCCUGACUCAGAUGUCUCUCUUUGCCAUUUUUGGAGGCAUGGAAGAGAGACAUGCUCCUGAGUGUGAUGGCCUAUGACCGGUUUGUAGCCAUCUGUCACCCUCUAUAUCGUUCAGCCAUCUUGAGCCCGUGAUUCUGUGCCUUCCUAGAUUUGUUGUCUUUGUUUUGUUUUGUUUUGUUUUGUUUUGUUUUGUUUUUCUCAGUCUUUUAGACUCCCAGCUGCACAACUUGAUUGCCUUACAAAUGACCUGCUUCAAAGAUGUGGAAAUUCCUAAUUUCCUCUGGGAACCUUCUCAACUCCCCCAUCUUGCAUGUUGUGACACCUUCACCAGGAACAUCAACAUGUAUUUCCCUGCUGCUGUAUUUGGUUUUCUUCCCAUCUCGGGGACCUUUUCUCUUACAAUGGAGUAAAAUUGUUUCCUCCAUUCUGAGGGUUUCAUCAUCAGGUGGGAAGUAUAAACCUUCUCCACCUGUGGGUCUCACCUGUCAGUUGUUUGCUGAUUUUGUGGAACAGGCGUUGGAGGGUACCUCGGUUCAGAUGUGUCAUCUUCCCCGAGAAAGAGUGCAGUGGCCUCAGUGAUGUACACGGUGGUCACCCCCAUGCUGAACCCCUUCAUCUACAGCCUGAGAAACAGGGAUAUGAAAAGUGUCCUGCGGCAGCCGCACGGCAGCACGGUCUAA